GAUGAACGCUGGCGGCGUGCCUAAUACAUGCAAGUAGAACGCUGAAGGAGGAGCUUGCUCUUCUGGAUGAGUUGCGAACGGGUGAGUAACGCGUAGGUAACCUGCCUGGUAGCGGGGGAUAACUAUUGGAAACGAUAGCUAAUACCGCAUGACAACAGUUAUUGCAUGAUAACUGUUUAAAAGGGGCAACUGCUCCACUACCAGAUGGACCUGCGUUGUAUUAGCUAGUUGGUGAGGUAACGGCUCACCAAGGCGACGAUACAUAGCCGACCUGAGAGGGUGAUCGGCCACACUGGGACUGAGACACGGCCCAGACGCCUACGGGAGGCAGCAGUAGGGAAUCUUCGGCAAUGGACGGAAGUCUGACCGAGCAACGCCGCGUGAGUGAAGAAGGUUGUCGGAUCGUAAAGCUCGGUUGUAAGAGAAGAACGAGUGUGAGAGUGGAAAGUUCACACUGUGACGGUAUCUGACCAGAAAGGGACGGCUAACUACGUG
rnacentral:rRNA from 1 species